GUCCACGCCCUAAACGAUGAUUACUCGAUGUUAGCGAUAUACAGUUAGCGUCAAAGCGAAAGCGUUAAGUAAUCCACCUGGGGAGUACGCCGGCAACGGUGAAACUCAAAGGAAUUGACGGGGCCCGCACAAGCGGAGGAGCAUGUGGUUUAAUUCGAUGAUACGCGAGGAACCUUACCCGGGCUUGAAAGUAGUGAAUGAUCCAGAAAUGGAUCAGUCCGCAAGGACACGAAACUAGGUGCUGCAUGGCUGUCGU
rnacentral:rRNA from 1 species